rnacentral:rRNA from 1 species
AUGCAAGCGACGGCGCGGCAGGUGGAGGACAAGGAGUGCUACAGCUACACCACCAAUGGCGCGGCCAACGGGCGGCCGCACCGCAAGAACCCGGCCGCGUCCUCUAGGCUCAAGCCGAUGCCGUCCAAGUGGGACGACGCGCAGAAGUGGCUGGUGGGCAUGUCCAACGGCGGCGGCGACGGGCUGCACGGCGGCGGCGGCAAGGCCGCCAAGCCCCGCAACUCCAACGCCGACGACCGGCGCCUCCUGAGCUCCUCCUCGCAGAACGGCCGCAUCUCCUGCAGCAGCGUGGACGGCGGGAUCGAGUACAACAUGGUGGCGGCGCCCCCGACGCCGCCGCAGCUGGGCGAGGACGACGUCGGCGAGACCAAGAACAUGGACUGCAGCAUGGUGCGGCCGCACGCCCACGGGUCGCCCGUGUCGGUGUGCCUGCGGGACAUGGGCACCGAGAUGACGCCCAUCGCCAGCAAGGAGCCGUCCAGGGCGGCCACGCCGCUGCGCUCCACCACGCCCGUCGCGCGGAGCCCGAUACCGUCCCGGUCGUCCACGCCGGGGAGGCGGCGGCAGGACGCGCCGCCCGCGGGCGCUCUUGGCUCCGACGUGGUCAGGACCGCGGAGCAGCCGGCGGUAAGCAACAAUGCCGUCGGUGGCGGCGAGGCGGACAGGGACAGCGACGGCGGGGCGGUCGGCGGUGCUCCCAGGGCCAACACGCUCGAGUCCCGCGCGGCGGCCUGGGACGAGGCCGAGCGGGCCAAGUUCAUGGCGAGAUACAAGCGCGAGGAGGUGAAGAUCCAGGCCUGGGAGAACCACGAGAAGAGAAAAGCCGAGCUGGAGAUGAAGAAAAUAGAGAUGAAGGCGGAGCAGAUGAAGGCGCGGGCGCAGGAGAAGCUGGCCAGCAAGCUGGCGACGGCGCGGCGGGUGGCCGAGGAGAAGCGGGCGGUGGCGGAGGCGACGCUGAACGAGGGCGCGGCGAGGACGUCGGAGAAGGCGGACUACAUCCGGAGGACCGGCCACCUGCCCUCCUCCUUCUUCUCCUUCAGAAUCCCCUCCCUCUGCGGCUAG